GAGCCGACCCUAUGGAGCAGGACUUGCUUCAGUGAGGCCUUGAUGCUCACUGAGUCUUCCCUUUGAGUGUGUCACU
rfam:Myotis lucifugus cont2.33799, whole genome shotgun sequence.